rnacentral:rRNA from 1 species
CCUACGGGAGGCAGCAGUGGGGAAUUUUGGACAAUGGGCGCAAGCCUGAUCCAGCAAUGCCGCGUGAGUGAAGAAGGCCUUCGGGUUGUAAAGCUCUUUUGUCAGGGAAGAAACGGUCUACUCUAAUACAGUGGGCUAAUGACGGUACCUGAAGAAUAAGCACCGGCUAACUACGUGCCAGCAGCCGCGGUAAUACGUAGGGUGCAAGCGUUAAUCGGAAUUACUGGGCGUAAAGCGUGCGCAGGCGGUUAUAUAAGUCAGAUGUGAAAUCCCCGGGCUCAACCUGGGAACUGCAUUUGAGACUGUAUGGCUAGAGUGUGUCAGAGGGGGGUAGAAUUCCACGUGUAGCAGUGAAAUGCGUAGAUAUGUGGAGGAAUACCGAUGGCGAAGGCAGCCCCCUGGGAUAACACUGACGCUCAUGCACGAAAGCGUGGGGAGCAAACAGGAUUAGAUACCCUGGUAGUCCACGCCCUAAACGAUGUCUACUAGUUGUCGGGACUUAAUUGUCUUGGUAACGCAGCUACGCGUGAGUAGACCGCCGUCGGGAGGUACGGUCGCGAGAAGUAAACGUAACGUAAGUAGAAGUUAGUACGGCGUGAGACGUUAGCCGACGGACGACGACGAGGGAGGAGG